rnacentral:lncRNA from 1 species
CCGCGCCCUCUCCCACUGGUUGUCCAGCCCACAUCCUGCACUCCCUCCACUGCGCCCCGCUCACACUCCCGCACCCUCCCCACACUGCGCCCUGCCCACACUCCUGCACUCUCUCCCCACUACGCCCCCUACCACAUCCCGCGCCCCCGCCCCCAUCCCCACUGCGCCCCGCCCACACUCCCGCGCCCUCGCGCCCCUGGGCUCUCCCGUCGUGGGCACUCUCCCCAGCGCUUCUACACUUUCUCCCGACGCAGCGCCCUGCCCUCCGUCCCGCCCCACCUAUUGCCUCCUGCGCUUCCCCCACACCGUGCUCUUCCUCCUCCUUCACUUCCUCCCACUCCUCGCGCUCCCCUUCAGCGCCCCACGCAGCCCCUCCCCCAAAACCCCGCGUCGCUCUCCUUCCCUCCUGGCCUCUCUUCCAGUCUCGCGCUCCCUGCCGGGCCCCGCCGCAGGUGUCCCGCAGCCGUCUCCCCAGGGCAUUUGAAUCUUGCCUUGGAGCUCUUGCCGCGCGGCCCAGCACCCUGGAAGAGGCAUCAGGGAGGAUGGGACGACGAGGAAGGGGAAGGUUAUGAAGGGCUGUGACACCUUGCUUGGCUUCUAGUCUUGACAUAGACUAAAAGGCAGAAGGUUUCCAGAGCUCACGCUGGAUGGCUGGGCAGAUGAGGUCUUCAGAGACUCUCCAGGGAGGUACGGCUCUGCCUUUCUACUCAGUAUGCAAGCUCCCCAGACUUCUGAAGAGGGAUGUUUCUCCUUAGAGAAAGUCUCCCUGAAUGUGGGUAUUUCAUAAGUUCUUGGACCAGUUCUGCUCUUCUCAGUCCUGCUUUUUGUCAACAUACAUUGAAUCACUUCUCCCUGGCAAAAGAGCAGCAUGUGAAGAAAAUGUGAUCCUUGGUGGUUUGACAUGAAAUUGACUUUUUCUUCUAGCAACACUUAUGAAUAUUCAAAUACAAUUAUGGAAAAGAUUUUUUGCACUGAUCAGCAUAACAAACAAAUUAGACAUCCCAGUGUGCAAAUAUAACUUUCUGAAUUUCCUAGUUUUAAAUAUUCCAGUGGCCAGGAUACCCUAUCCAGAGGAAGCAGGACCGUCUCAGCUGACCAGGGCCCUUGCCUGCUAAUAGCAUCAUGCAUACCUUGUUUCUUCAUGAGGCUGCUUGCCCGAGUUCCAAUCCACCAGGAAUUCAUCUUGUAUCAUAGCUGAUGGAUCCCGUGUCUCGUUUCUAAGUUGGAGCAUCACUUUGCAGCUCCCAACCAGGGCCAGCCACAAAAUUUGAAAGGCCCAGUGCAAAAUAAAAAUGCAGAGCCCCUUGUUCAAAAAGCAGGAAAAGAAUGGGCCAGCAAAGGAACUAAAAUAAACGAAAGCUUUUCCCUUUCUUCCAUGGUCUCUCUUUUGACCUAUCAUGGUGUUUUUAUUUGCUACUGAAUAUCAUGCUUUCUUGGGACAGGGUGAGUGUCAACUGUCACACUUGCCCAGGGGCCCUGCCGAGUGACUUGGUGGGUACACAGUCCACCAGCUGCUUGCAUGGCCACGCCCACCCUGAGAUGCCACGGGUAGUGUAGUAAAAGCAUCUGAUGUCAACCCCACACCCCUCCACACAUACACACUCAGGUUCCCGCAGACCAUGGAGGGCACCAGCGGUUGCUGGGUGAGGGUGGGGAUGGGGAGGCCAUGUGGGGCCCAGGACACCAAAGGGAGGGAGACGAGCAGUCAAUAAUGUGCCUGGGAGAGGUGGCGGACCAGCAGCAGAUGGGAGCACACAUGAGGCAGGCUCCAAGUGCUCACGUAUGCUCCACUGUCCAAUGAGGCCUCACUUACACCACACAAAUUCAAAGAUAAAAUAAAGUUUUUUUUGUUUUGUUUUGUUUUGUUUUGUUUUGGAGACAAGAGUCUCACUCUGUCACCCAGGCUAGAGUGCAGUGGCGCAAUCUUGGCUCACUGCAACUUCCACCUUCCAGGUUCAAGUGAUUCUCCUGCCUCAGCCUCCCAAACAGCUGGGGCUACAGGUGUCCACCACCACACCUGGCUAAUUUUUUGUAUUUUUAGUAGAGAUGGGGUUUCUCCAUGCUGGCCAGGCUGGUCUCAAACUCCUGACCUCAAGUGAUCCGCCC